rnacentral:rRNA from 1 species
GGAAACGACUGCUAAUACCCGAUAGGCUGAAAAGUGAAAAGAGAUUCGCCUAGAGAGGGGCUCGCGUCCGAUUAGCUAGUUGGUGGGGUAAGAGCCUACCAAGGCAGCGAUCGGUAGCUGGUCUGAGAGGACGAGCAGCCACACUGGGACUGAGACACGGCCCAGACUCCUACGGGAGGCAGCAGUGGGGAAUUUUCCGCAAUGGGCGCAAGCCUGACGGAGCAAUACCGCGUGAGGGAGGAAGGCUUUUGGGUUGUAAACCUCUUUUCUCAAGGAAGAAGCACUGACGGUACUUGAGGAAUCAGCAUCGGCUAACUCCGUGCCAGCAGCCGCGGUAAUACGGAGGAUGCAAGCGUUAUUCGGAAUUAUUGGGCGUAAAGCGUCCGCAGGUGGUGCCUCAAGUCUGCUGUCAAAGACCGAAGCUUAACUUCGGGCAGGCAGUGGAAACUGAAGCACUAGAGUACGGUAGGGGUAGAGGGAAUUUCCAGUGUAGCGGUGAAAUGCGUAGAGAUUGGAAAGAACACCAGUGGCGAAGGCGCUCUACUGGACCGUAACUGACACUCAGGGACGAAAGCU